AGUGAACGCUGGCGGCGUGCCUAAUACAUGCAAGUCGAACGGAGUGGCGCACGGGUGAGUAAUAUAUAGCUAAUCUGCCCCUUGCUGGAGGACAACAGUUAGAAAUGACUGCUAAUACUCCAUAGCAAGGGAUGGGGCUAUAUCGUAUCAGCUAGUCGGUGGGGUAACGGCCUACCGAGGCUAUGACGCGUAACUGUUCUGAGAGGAUGAUCAGCAACAUUGGAACUGAGGCACGGUCCAAACUCCUACGGGAGGGAGCAGUAGGGAAUAAUGCGCAAUGGGGGAAACCCUGACGCAGCUACGCCGCGUGGAGGACGACAAUUUUCGGAGAGUAAACUCAUUUUGUUAGGGAAGCGGUACCUAACGAAUAAGCACCGGCUAACUCCGUGCCAGCAGCCGCGGUAAUUC
rnacentral:rRNA from 1 species